UACGUAGGGUGCAGGCGUUAAUCGGAAUUACUGGGCGUAAAGCGUGCGCAGGCGGCUCCUUAAGUCAGAUGUGAAAUCCCCGGGCUUAACCUGGGAACUGCGUUUGAAACUGGGGAGCUCGAGUGUGGAAGAGGGGGGUGGAAUUCCAGGUGUAGCAGUGAAAUGCGUAGAGAUCUGGAGGAACACCGAUGGCGAAGGCAGCCCCCUGGGCUAACACUGACGCUCAUGCACGAAAGCGUGGGGAGCAAACAGGAUUAGAUACCCCCGUAGUCC
rnacentral:rRNA from 1 species